rnacentral:tRNA from 2 species
GCCGAGGUGGCGAAAUGGUAUACGCACUAGUCUUAGGAACUAGCGUCGAAAGACAUGCGAGUUCGAGUCUCGCCCUCGGCACCA